rnacentral:rRNA from 1 species
AGCGAACGCUGGCGGCAGGCUUAACACAUGCAAGUCGAGCGGGCACCUUCGGGUGUCAGCGGCAGACGGGUGAGUAACACGUGGGAACGUACCCUUUGGUUCGGAACAACUCUGGGAAACUAGGAGCUAAUACCGGAUACGCCCUUACUGGGGAAAGGGUUUACCGCCGAAGGAUCGGCCCGCGUCUGAUUAGCUAGUUGGUGAGGUAACGGCUCACCAAGGCGACGAUCAGUAGCUGGUCUGAGAGGAUGAUCAGCCACACUGGGAC